UAGCUCAGUGGUAGAGCACUUGCCUAGCAUGUGUGAGGUCCUGGGUUCAAUACCCAG
rnacentral:tRNA from 1 species